AGCGAACGCUGGCGGCAGGCCUAACACAUGCAAGUCGAACGAACUCUUCGGAGUUAGUGGCGGACGGGUGAGUAACACGUGGGAACGUGCCUUUAGGUUCGGAAUAACUCAGGGAAACUUGAGCUAAUACCGGAUGUGCCCUUCGGGGGAAAGAUUUAUCGCCUUUAGAGCGGCCCGCGUCUGAUUAGCUAGUUGGUGAGGUAAAGGCUCACCAAGGCGACGAUCAGUAGCUGGUCUGAGAGGAUGAUCAGCCACAUUGGGACUGAGACACGGCCCAAACUCCUACGGGAGGCAGCAGUGGGGAAUCUUGCGCAAUGGGCGAAAGCCUGACGCAGCCAUGCCGCGUGAAUGAUGAAGGUCUUAGGAUUGUAAAAUUCUUUCAACGGGGACGAUAAUGACGGUACCCGGAGAAGAAGCCCCGGCUAACUUCGUG
rnacentral:rRNA from 1 species